rnacentral:rRNA from 1 species
ACGGAAGGCAGCAGUGGGGAAUAUUGGGCAAUGGGCGAAAGCCUGACCCAGCGACGCCGCGUGAGGGAAGACGGUCUUCGGAUUGUAAACCUCUUUUAUGUGGGACGAAACAAAUGACGGUACCUCAUGAAUAAGCCACGGCUAACUACGUGCCAGCAGCCGCGGUAAUACGUAGGUGGCAAGCGUUAUCCGGAUUUACUGGGUGUAAAGGGCGCGUAGGCGGGAAUGCAAGUCAGAUGUGAAAUCUCUGGGCUCAACCCAGAAACUGCAUUUGAAACUGUAUUUCUUGAGUGCUGGAGAGGUAGAUGGAAUUCCUAGUGUAGCGGUGAAAUGCGUAGAUAUUAGGAAGAACACCAGUGGCGAAGGCGAUCUACUGGACAGUAACUGACGCUGAGGCGCGAAAGCGUGGGGAGCAAACAGGAUUAGAUACCCUGGUA